CUGAGAAGCACUCAAUAUAUUUGUUAGUAUUUCUAUGGUCAAACUGUGUCACAAUCCAAUGCAAUUGACUAAUUAUAAGAGUUAGAGAUAGAUUAGGAGUGUUUAGACAACACUUAUACCGAUUUUCUUCCAAAAGAGGCUAAAACCAACAAAAAUUUGCUUA
rnacentral:sRNA from 1 species